rnacentral:rRNA from 1 species
UACGUAGGGCGCAAGCGUUGUCCGGAAUUAUUGGGCGUAAAGAGCUCGUAGGUGGUUUGUCGCGUCUGUCGUGAAAGCCCGGGGCUUAACUCCGGGUCUGCGGUGGAUACGGGCAGACUAGAGGCAGGUAGGGGAGAACGGAAUUCCCGGUGUAGCGGUGAAAUGCGUAGAGAUCGGAAAGAACACCAACGGCGAAAGCACUCUGCUGGGCCGACACUGACACUGAGAGACGAAAGCUAGGGGAGCGAAUGGG